rnacentral:rRNA from 1 species
UACGUAGGUGGCAAGCGUUGUCCGGAAUUAUUGGGCGUAAAGCGCGCGCAGGUGGUUUCUUAAGUCUGAUGUGAAAGCCCACGGCUCAACCGUGGAGGGUCAUUGGAAACUGGGGAACUUGAGUGCAGGAGAGAAGAGUGGAAUUCCACGUGUAGCGGUGAAAUGCAUAGAGAUGUGGAGGAACACCAGUGGCGAAGGCGACUCUUUGGCCUGUAACUGACACUGAGGCGCGAAAGCGUGGGGAGCAAACAGG